rnacentral:snRNA from 1 species
CUAUUUACCUGGCAGGGGAAAUACCAUGACCACCGAGGUGGUUUUCCUACUGGCAGGGAAUAGUAACCCUGACUGAAGUACUGCACAGUCAGCCUCCCACUGUGGGAAGAGCUCAGCUACACGCCGACUUUAUGGAAAGGGGGGACCCCUC